UACGGGGGGGGCAAGCGUUGUUCGGAAUUACUGGGCGUAAAGGGCUCGUAGGUGGCCAACUAAGUCAUGCGUGAAAUCCCUCGGCUUAACCGGGGAACUGCGUCUGAUACUGGAUGGCUUGAGUUUGGGAGAGGGAUGCGGAAUUCCAGGUGUAGCGGUGAAAUGCGUAGAUAUCUGGAGGAACACCGGUGGCGAAGGCGGCAUCCUGGACCGAUAUUGACGCUGAUGCGCGAAAGCCAGGGGAGCAAACGGG
rnacentral:rRNA from 1 species